AGCAGUGAGGAAUAUUGGUCAAUGGCCGGAAGGCUGAACCAGCCAUGCCGCGUGAAGGUCAGUGCCCUAUGGGCGUUAAACUUCUUUUGUGCGGGAGCAAUAAGGUCCACGUGUGGACCGACGAGAGUACCGUACGAAUAAGCAUCGGCUAACUCCGUGCCAGCAGCCGCGGUAAUACGGGGGAUGCAAGCGUUAUCCGGAUUUAUUGGGUUUAAAGGGUGCGUAGGCUGUGAGGUAAGUCAGCGGUGAAAUGCCCCCGCUCAACGGGGUGAAGUGCCAUUGAUACUGCCUUGCUGGAAUGCGGAUGCCGUGGGAGGAAUGUGUGGUGUAGCGGUGAAAUGCAUAGAUAUCACACAGAACACCGAUUGCGAAGGCAUCUCACGAAUCCGCUAUUGACGCUGAUGCACGAAAGCGUGGGUAUCAAACAGGGUUAGAUACCCUGGUAGUCCACGCUGUAAACGAUGAUGACUAACCGUCGGCGAUACACAG
rnacentral:rRNA from 1 species